rnacentral:tRNA from 1 species
GCCUGGCUGGCUCAGUCAGUAAAGCACGAGACUCUUGUUCUUGGUUGGGGUUGUGAGUUCAAGACCCACGUUGGGCC